CCAUCCCUCAGUUGGUAGAGCACAAGGCUCUUAACCUUGUGGACAUGGAUUCAAGCCCCAUGAUGGG
rnacentral:tRNA from 1 species